AGAGUUUGAUCCUGGCUCAGGACGAACGCUGGCGGCGUGCCUAACACAUGCAAGUCGAGCGGAGACAGUAGUAAUAUUGUCUUAGCGGCGGACGGGUGAGUAACGCGUGGGUAACCUGCCUUAUACAGGGGGAUAACACAGGGAAACUUGUGCUAAUACCGCAUAAUACCAUUGGGUGGCAUCAUCUGAUGGUCAAAGGA
rnacentral:rRNA from 1 species